rnacentral:rRNA from 1 species
UACAGAGGUCCCGAGCGUUGUUCGGAUUCAUUGGGCGUAAAGGGUGCGUAGGUGGCGGAGUUAGUCGGAUGUGAAAUCCCGGGGCUCAACCCCGGAACUGCAUUCGAUACUGCUCUGCUUGAGCACUGGAGAGGAGACUGGAAUUUACGGUGUAGCAGUGAAAUGCGUAGAUAUCGUAAGGAAGACCAGUGGCGAAGGCGAGUCUCUGGACAGUUGCUGACACUGAGGCACGAAGGCCAGGGGAGCAAACGGG